rnacentral:rRNA from 1 species
GACGAACGCUGGCGGCGUGCCUAAUACAUGCAAGUAGAACGCUGAAGGAGGAGCUUGCUUCUCUGGAUGAGUUGCGAACGGGUGAGUAACGCGUAGGUAACCUGCCUGGUAGCGGGGGAUAACUAUUGGAAACGAUAGCUAAUACCGCAUAAGAGUAGAUGUCGCAUGACAUUUGCUUAAAAGGUGCAAUUGCACCACUACCAGAUGGACCUGCGUUGUAUUAGCUAGUUGGUGAGGUAACGGCUCACCAAGGCAACGAUACAUAGCCGACCUGAGAGGGUGAUCGGCCACACUGGGACUGAGACACGGCCCAGACUCCUACGGGAGGCAGCAGUAGGGAAUCUUCGGCAAUGGACGGAAGUCUGACCGAGCAACGCCGCGUGAGUGAAGAAGGUUUUCGGAUCGUAAAGCUCUGUUGUAAGAGAAGAACGAGUGUGAGAGUGGAAAGUUCACACUGUGACGGUAUCUUACCAGAAAGGGACGGCUAACUACGUG